UAAUACGUAGGGGGCAUGCGUUAUCCGGAAUUACUGGGUGUAAAGGGUACGUAGGCGGCCCAUUAAGUCAGAUGUGAAAGCCCGGAGCUCAACUCCGGGAUUGCAUUUGAAACUGGUGGGCUAGAGUACAGGAGAGGAAAGUGGAAUUCCUAGUGUAGCGGUGAAAUGCGUAGAUAUUAGGAAGAACACCAGUGGCGAAGGCGGCUUUCUGGACUGUAACUGACGCUGAGGUACGAAAGCGUGGGGAGCGAACAGGAUUAGAUACCCUGUAGUCCACGCCGUAAACGAUGAAUGCUAGGUGUCGGGAGUCGAAUCUCGGUGCCGCAGUUAACGCAAUAAGCAUUCCACCUGGGGAGUACGGUCGCAAGACUG
rnacentral:rRNA from 1 species